CCUCAUCGGCUGCCGACGACGUCACGCUGCGUCGUUUGUCCGUGAAUUGUGUGAUGCAAUCAACAAUAUGUCUCCAAUUUACCAACUCUGGUAUUCGUCUGUGUCGGGAAGGUGCAAAGAGAGGGCCGAAGCGUCGUCGAAGUCAAUGCUUGCAAUGUGCUGUGGUGCGUCUCGUGAUAAGAAUGAAAAGGCUAAUUCACCUGCCAGCGAGAUUGUCUGCUGCUGCUGCUAAUUGAUAACGCGACAGACCUGCGACAUUGUGUCUUUUCUGGACGAGUUUGUUCGAAACCAAUAGUCGGGUGUUUCACGGUAUACCGCAGUCUCUGCUUGAAUUCUGAGGAAGCUGCGUGUACAAAGUGGCUAUAGCCAAUGUACUUGCUGUGCAUCAGUGUGAAGUGCCUCAACGUCAGACUGACUCUGGUACAGAGGAUGUGUAUCGUCUGGGCAGCUCUCGUCAGGACUUCGGGCAGCGGACAAAGACGGCGCCGGCCCGCAAAACUGCUAGCGACAUUGAACUAGUGGGAGCAGAACUCCACGACUGGCACCACAUUGCGAAGCUGAAACUUGACUAUGCUGGCGGCUGCGGCUGGCAGGGUCGGGUCAUCCAGGGAGAAAACGCCUUCACCGUGUCGUACAGCGCCAGGGUACGGGCAAGGAUGCAUACUCCAUCUGGAACGUACUCAGGGAGCCUUUUAACUGCCACGUAAAGCGUUCUCGUUGUUUAAACGGGAAUCACGGGUACUUCAACAUCGUCCAGAACAAGUCGGCCAGUUUCGUCAAUAAUGUCUCGAGCUCGCAGGAUCUGGCUGUCUACUUCAGAACACAAUCCACCCUGGUGUGGGAUAGAAUGUAUA